rnacentral:rRNA from 1 species
CUACGGGUGGCUGCAGUGAGGAAUAUUGCGCAAUGGGGGAAACCCUGACGCAGCGACGCCGCGUGGAUGAUGAAGGCCUUAGGGUCGUAAAAUCCUGUCAGGUGGGAAGAAGUGGAUAUAGAUUAAUACUCUAUUUCUUUGACGGUACCACCAAAGGAAGCACCGGCUAACUCCGUGCCAGCAGCUGCGGUAAUACGGAGGGUGCAAACGUUGCUCGGAAUUACUGGGCGUAAAGCGCGCGUAGGCGGUUUGUUAAGUCAGAUGUGAAAGUCCAGGGCUCAACCAUGGAAGUGCAUUUGAAACUGGCAGACUUGAGUACUGGAGGGGGUGAUGGAAUUCCCGGUGUAGAGGUGAAAUUCGUAGAUAUCGGGAGGAAUACCAAUGGCGAAGGCGAUCACCUGGCCAGAUACUGACGCUGAGGUGCGAAAGCGUGGGGAGCAAACAGGAUUAGAUACCCUCGUAGUC